rnacentral:misc_RNA from 1 species
AACGCACAUUGCGCCCUGUGGUAUUCCGCAGGGCAUGCCUGUUCGAGCGUCAGUACAACACUCAAGCCUGGCUUGGUAUUGAGCUACGUCCGCAAGGGCCGGCUUUAAAAUCAGUGGCGGCGCCAUCUGGCUCUCAGCGUAGUAAUACUCCUCGCUAUUGAGUCCCGGUAGAUGCUAGCCAGCAACCCCAAACUUUCUAAGUUUGACCUCGGAUCAGGUAGGGAUACCCGCUGAACUUAA